rnacentral:rRNA from 1 species
AUCGAACGCUGGCGGCAUGCUUUACACAUGCAAGUCGAACGGUAACAGGUUAAGCUGACGAGUGGCGAACGGGUGAGUAAUGCAUCGGAACGUGCCCGGUCGUGGGGGAUAACGCAGCGAAAGUUGCGCUAAUACCGCAUACGAUCUGAGGAUGAAAGCGGGGGACCGUAAGGCCUCGCGCGAUCGGAGCGGCCGAUGUCAGAUUAGGUAGUUGGUGGGGUAAAGGCUCACCAAGCCAACGAUCUGUAGCUGGUCUGAGAGGACGACCAGCCACACUGGGACGGAGACACGGCCCAGACUCCUACGGGAGGCAGCAGUGGGGAAUUUUGGACAAUGGGCGAAAGCCUGAUCCAGCAAUGCCGCGUGCAGGAAGAAGGCCUUCGGGUUGUAAACUGCUUUUGUACGGAGCGAAAAGGUCUCCUCUAAUACAGGGGGCUCAUGACGGUACCGUAAGAAUAAGCACCGGCUAACUACGUGCCAGCAGCCGCAGUAA